GUCCACGCCCUAAACGAUGUCAACUGGUUGUCGGGGAAGCAAUUCCUUGGUAACGAAGCUAACGCGUGAAGUUGACCGCCUGGGGAGUACGGCCGCAAGGUUAAAACUCAAAGGAAUUGACGGGGACCCGCACAAGCGGUGGAUUAUGUGGAUUAAUUCGAUGCAACGCGAAAAACCUUACCUACCCUUGACAUGUACGGAACCCCGCAGAGAUGCGGGGGUGCCCGAAAGGGAGCCGUAACACAGGUGCUGCAUGGCUGUCGU
rnacentral:rRNA from 1 species